GACGAACGCUGGCGGCGUGCCUAAUACAUGCAAGUCGAGCGGAUGGAAGGAAGCUUGCUUCCUAAAGUCAGCGGCGGACGGGUGAGUAACACGUGGGCAACCUGCCCCUAAGAUCGGGAUAACUUCGGGAAACCGGAGCUAAUACCGGAUAUGAUUAUGUUUCACAUGAGACAUAAUGGAAAGACGGUUUCCGAUGUCACUUAGGGAUGGGCCCGUGACGCAUUAGCUAGUUGGUGAGGUAACGGCUCACCAAGGCGACGAUGCGUAGCCGACCUGAGAGGGUGAUCGGCCACACUGGGACUGAGACACGGCCCAGACUCCUACGGGAGGCAGCAGUAGGGAAUCCUCCGCAAUGGACGAAAGUCUGACGGAGCAACGCCGCGUGAGUGAAGAAGGUUUUCGGAUCGUAAAACUCUGUUGUUAGGGAAGAACAAGUACCAUAGUAACUGAUGGUACCUUGACGGUACCUAACCAGAAAGCCACGGCUAACUACGUGCCAGCAGCCGCGGUAA
rnacentral:rRNA from 1 species